GAGCCAAGAAAAGUUUCUAAGUUUAGCUAAUGUUGCCCGUACCGUAAACCGACACAGGUGGGUGGGAUGAGUAUUCUAAGGCGCGUGGAAGAACUCUCUUUAAGGAACUCUGCAAAAUAGCACCGUAUCUUCGGUAUAAGGUGUGCCUCCCUUUGUAUUAGGAUUUACUCCGAAAGCAAAGAAGGUUACAACAAAGAGUCCCUCCCGACUGUUUACCAAAAACACAGCACUCUGCUAACUCGUAAGAGGAUGUAUAGGGUGUGACGCCUGCCCGGUGCUCGAAGGUUAAUUGAUGGGGUUAGCAUUAGCGAAGCUCUUGAUCGAAGCCCGAGUAAACGGCGGCCGUAACUAUAACGGUCCUAAGGUAGCGAAAUUCCUUGUCGGUUAAAUACCGACCUGCAUGAAUGGCGUAACGAGAUGGGAGCUGUCUCAAAGAGGGAUCCAGUGAAAUUGUAGUGGAGGUGAAAAUUCCUCCUACCCGCGGCAAGACGGAAAGACCCCGUGGACCUUUACUACAGCUUGACACUGCUACUUGGAUAAGAAUGUGCAGGAUAGGUGGGAGGCUUUGAGUAUAUGACGCCAGUUGUAUAUGAGCCAUUGUUGAGAUACCACUCUUUCUUAUUUGGGUAGCUAACCAGCUUGAGUUAUCCUCAAGUGGGACAAUGUCUGGUGGGUAGUUUGACUGGGGCGGUCGCCUCCCAAAUAAUAACGGAGGCUUACAAAGGUUGGCUCAGAACGGUUGGAAAUCGUUCGUAGAGUAUAAAGGUAUAAGCCAGCUUAACUGCAAGACAUACAAGUCAAGCAGAGACGAAAGUCGGUCUUAGUGAUCCGGUGGUUCUGUGUGGAAGGGCCAUCGCUCAAAGGAUAAAAGGUACCCCGGGGAUAACAGGCUGAUCUCCCCCAAGAGCUCACAUCGACGGGGAGGUUUGGCACCUCGAUGUCGGCUCAUCGCAUCCUGGGGCUGGAGCAGGUCCCAAGGGUAUGGCUGUUCGCCAUUUAAAGCGGUACGCGAGCUGGGUUCAGAACGUCGUGAGACAGUUCGGUCCCUAUCUGCCGUGGGCGUAAGAAGAUUGAAGAGAUUUGACCCUAGUACGAGAGGACCGGGUUGAACAAACCACUGGUGUAGCUGUUGUUCUGCCAAGAGCAUCGCAGCGUAGCUAAGUUUGGAAAGGAUAAACGCUGAAAGCAUCUAAGCGUGAAGCCAACUCUAAGAUGAAUCUUCUCUAAGCUCUCUAGAAGACUACUAGUUUGAUAGGCUGGGUGUGUAAUGGAUGAAAGUCCUUUAGCUGACCAGUACUAAUAGAGCGUUUGGCUUAUCUUUAAUAAAGCAU
rnacentral:rRNA from 1 species